rnacentral:lncRNA from 1 species
GUGUAACACCUAGAGAAGUCUUGGAAGUUCCCUCUGUCAAAGAAAUCACAGGAAGGUGAAGCUCCCCAAGGUAAAGCUCUGUGAAGAAUGGAUUGGAGAAAGAGACUAAAGACAGGGAGACUAAUCAAGAAGCUAUUAAAACAGUUCAGUUAUUUUUAAAAAGUCAACACAAGGACUUCCAGUCAAGAUGGUGGCUUAGAGAAAGAUAAAGUUCAGAUCUCCGGAAACCCUUCCCUACAGAA